UACGGAGGGUGCAAGCGUUACCCGGAAUCACUGGGCGUAAAGGGCGUGUAGGCGGCCCCCCAAGUCCGGCUUUAAAGACCGAAGCUCAACUUCGGGACUGGGCUGGAUACUGUCGGGCUAGACGGUUGGAGGGGAGGGUGGAAUUCUCGGUGUAGCGGUGGAAUGCGUAGAUACCGAGAGGAACACCAGUGGCGAAGGCGGCCCUCUGGACAACUCGUGACGCUGAGGCGCGAAAGCUAGGGGAGCGAACGGG
rnacentral:rRNA from 1 species